UUGAGCAAAUAAAUUGAGAAUUAGAUUCUGUUCAAUUUGAGAUUUUCUUUCAUUCCAAAUCCCAAAUACCUAUUGGCUCUGCAUCAAUUUGGUAUCCCCAAUACCUAUUGGUUGUGAUGAUCACCAAUUUUUUCUGUUUAUAAAUUUUUGCUCUUGUUACUAUUUUCAUUAAGUAGUGUGUAGUAGAUUUGGGACCUUACUUCAUAUCUUGCUUUAUUGUGUGGGAGAUGUGCGGUAUUUAUGGUAUGAACCUUAUUUAGUUUUUCCCCCCUUAUAAACAGCCUGAGCCAAGUGAAAUAAAA
rnacentral:misc_RNA from 1 species